GACGAACGCUGGCGGCGUGCCUAAUACAUGCAAGUAGAACGCUGAAGAGAGGAGCUUGCUCUUCUUGGCUGAGUUGCGAACGGGUGAGUAACGCGUAGGUAACCUGCCUUGUAGCGGGGGAUAACUAUUGGAAACGAUAGCUAAUACCGCAUAACAAUGGAUGACACAUGUCAUUUAUUUGAAAGGGGCAAUUGCUCCACUACAAGAUGGACCUGCGUUGUAUUAGCUAGUAGGUGAGGUAACGGCUCACCUAGGCGACGAUACAUAGCCGACCUGAGAGGGUGAUCGGCCACACUGGGACUGAGACACGGCCCAGACUCCUACGGGAGGCAGCAGUAGGGAAUCUUCGGCAAUGGGGGCAACCCUGACCGAGCAACGCCGCGUGAGUGAAGAAGGUUUUCGGAUCGUAAAGCUCUGUUGUAAGUCAAGAACGAGUGUGAGAGUGGAAAGUUUACACUGUGACGGUAGCUUACCAGAAAGGGACGGCUAACUACGUG
rnacentral:rRNA from 1 species